GACGAACGCUGGCGGCGUGCCUAAUACAUGCAAGUCGAACGCUUCUUUCCUCCCGAGUGCUUGCACUCAAUUGGAAAGAGGAGUGGCGGACGGGUGAGUAACACGUGGGUAACCUACCCAUCAGAGGGGGAUAACACUUGGAAACAGGUGCUAAUACCGCAUAACAGUUUAUGCCGCAUGGCAUAAGAGUGAAAGGCGCUUUCGGGUGUCGCUGAUGGAUGGACCCGCGGUGCAUUAGCUAGUUGGUGAGGUAACGGCUCACCAAGGCCACGAUGCAUAGCCGACCUGAGAGGGUGAUCGGCCACACUGGGACUGAGACACGGCCCAGACUCCUACGGGAGGCAGCAGUAGGGAAUCUUCGGCAAUGGACGAAAGUCUGACCGAGCAACGCCGCGUGAGUGAAGAAGGUUUUCGGAUCGUAAAACGCUGUUGUUAGAGAAGAACAAGGACGUUAGUAACUGAACGUCCCCUGACGGUAUCUAACCAGAAAGCCACGGCUAACUACGUG
rnacentral:rRNA from 1 species